rnacentral:tRNA from 1 species
GGAGAGAUGGGUGAGUGGCUGAAACCACCAGUUUGCUAAACUGACGUACGGGGUUUACCUGUACCGGGGGUUCGAAUCCCCCUCUCUCCGCCA